GAUUUCAAAUGGCACUGCACUCAAUCAAAGCUGCCAAAGAGGCAAGAUAUUUCGUCCGAGAUGAAUGCAGCAAAGCUAACCAGUACUUGCGAGUUCGAAAGCCAUCCUUGAAAACCAGAGGUCUGUAUAGAAAUUUGCAUUGUUCUUUUCUAGGAGCACUACAAGAAGAACUAAAACCUUUCAUUACCUUCUCAUGUUCAGGGGCCCUGUGAUGCAAGUCGCCACACACUUUUGUGUGCAUCUCCCGGCCUUGGGAGAGAUUGGUCUUUGGAUCCUGGGCGCUUUCUCGGAGCCUGAGCGUUUAAAACC
rnacentral:lncRNA from 1 species